rnacentral:pre_miRNA from 1 species
CGGGUUUCGUUAACAGCGGGCUGUCAUUUCGAAAUCAACAAGUUCGUUGUCGACGAAACCUGCA